GACGAACCGUGCAAACGUUGUUCGGAAUCACUGGGCUUAAAGGGCGCGUAGGCGGGCAAGCAAGUCCGGGGUGAAAUCUUUCGGCUCAACCGGAAAAGUGCCUUGGAUACUGCUUGUCUGGAGGGAGGUAGGGGCAUGCGGAACUUCUGGUGGAGCGGUGAAAUGCGUUGAUAUCAGAAGGAACGCCGGUGGCGAAAGCGGCGUGCUGGACCUCUUCUGACGCUGAUGCGCGAAAGCUAGGGGAGCAAACGGG
rnacentral:rRNA from 1 species